rnacentral:snRNA from 7 species
AGCUUUGCACAGUGGCAGUAUCAUAGCCAAUGAGGUUUUUCUGAGGUGCGAUCAUUGCUAAUUGUAAAAAAAGAACAUGAUUUCAUCAGAGGACUAGUCUAUUGUUAGACCAAAGCUGCACAAUGCAGUCAGUUUU